ACCUGUCAACACUUUUUGACCAUGUCCUCCAUCAUUUUCUCGGCCCAUUACCGUCAUCUCUUCCGAUUUCUCAUCUCGGCCUUCCCAAAAUCAAAACGUUUUCAAGAUUCUCUACCACAUCGAAUCUUUUGACAUAUAACAUGAAGCAUUAAAUAUAGACGAAAAUAAAAACUAAUUGUACAGUUUAACUGUAAAUCGCG
rnacentral:lncRNA from 1 species